rnacentral:misc_RNA from 1 species
GAUGAAGAACGUAGCGAAAUGCGAUACGUAAUGUGAAUUGCAAAUUCAGUGAAUCAUCGAGGCUUUGAACGCACAUUGCGCCCCCUGGUAUUCCGGGGGGCAUGCCUGUCCGAGCGUCAUUGCUGCCCUCAAGCACGGCUUGUGUGUUGGGCCCCGUCCUCCGAUCCCGGGGGACGGGCCCGAAAGGCAGCGGCGGCACCGCGUCCGGUCCUCGAGCGUAUGGGGCUUUGUCACCCGCUCUGUAGGCCCGGCCGGCGCUUGCCGAUCAACCCAAAUUUUUAUCCAGGUUGACCUCGGAUCAGGUAGGGAUACCCGCUGAACUUAAGCAAAUCAAUAAGCGGAGGA